rnacentral:rRNA from 1 species
UACUAUAGCUUGACACUGAACAUUGAGCCUUGAUGUGUAGGAUAGGUGGGAGGCUUUGAAGCGUGGACGCCAGUCUGCGUGGAGCCAACCUUGAAAUACCACCCUUUAAUGUUUGAUGUUCUAACGUAGGCCCCUUAUCGGGGUUGCGGACAGUGUCUGGUGGGUAGUUUGACUGGGGCGGUCUCCUCCCAAAGCGUAACGGAGGAGCACGAAGGUUAGCUAAUCCUGGUCGGACAUCAGGAGGUUAGUGCAAUG